UCUCCGUUGGUGAACCAGCGGAGGGAUCAUUACAGGACUCGCAAGACUCCUACAACCCUGUGAACUUAACUAUAAGCACGUUGCUUCGGCGGGUGUCUCGGAGGGGGUUCUCCCUCCCCGAGACGCUAAACCCACCGGCAGCCUACUAUACUCUGUCUCUUUGCGUUGGCAUCUCGAGUACAAUCAAACAAGUUAAAACUUUCAACAACGGAUCUCUUGGUUCUG
rnacentral:misc_RNA from 1 species